CCAAGGAUCCCAAGAAGAGAUGUUGAAGAGACUUUAAAACCGACGCCAUGAGAAGAGAGACUCUCUCUACUGAUGGUGGUUUGUUCUAAAGCCUCUAAAAAAUUCAUGGGAGAUCGGUAUAAACACUACUUAAAGAAGAAAUAUUAAGCGAUCAAGAUCUUCUGAAGAAUACAGAGAAGAGGUUUGUUCCCACGCGGCACGUGAGAGAAGACGGAGGUUCCAAGGAUCCCAAGAAGAGAUGUUGAAGAGACUUUAAAACCGACGCCAUGAGAAGAGAGACUCUCUCUACUGAUGGUGGUUUGUUCUAAAGCCUCUAACAAAUUCAUGGGACGUCGGUAUAAACACUACUUAAAGAAGAAUUAUUAAUCAGUCAAGAUCAUCUGAAGAAAAAUAAGAAGAGCAUUCAUCCCCCAGGGCACGUCAGAUAAGACCAAGGUUCCAAGGAUCCCAAGAGGAGAUGUUGAAGAGACUUUAAAACCGACGCCAUGAGAAGAGAGACUCUCUCUACUGAUGGUGGUUUGUUCUAAAGCCUCUAAAAAAUUCAUGGGAGAUCGGUAUAAACACUACUUAAAGAAGAAAUAUUAAGCGAUCAAGAUCUUCUGAAGAAUACAGAGAAGAGGUUA